GAUCAACACAGAAUUUCAAAAGAAUCACAAUUGUCCCACUUCAAUCCAAGUUCCUGUCUCCAAGCAAUGAUUAAGCAAAUUACUGAUUGUGAUAUUGAUGCUGGCCGAGUGUCUCCUGAAGGGACUCUGUAUCUACACGGGGGAAGAUCCUGAAAACUUUGUGCAGGAAUAUGUGGGCAUGGAUGAAGUUGAUGUCAUUGAAGACAACUGGGGUUUAUGUCCUGAGAGAACAUGAGUCAAGUGAACCAGAGGACA